UUUUGUAUAAUGGGUCAGCGACUUAUAUUCUGUAGCAAGGUUAACCGAAUAGGGGAGCCGAAGGGAAACCGAGUCUUAACUGGGCGUUAAGUUGCAGGGUAUAGACCCGAAACCCGGUGAUCUAGCCAUGGGCAGGUUGAAGGUUGGGUAACACUAACUGGAGGACCGAACCGACUAAUGUUGAAAAAUUAGCGGAUGACUUGUGGCUGGGGGUGAAAGGCCAAUCAAACCGGGAGAUAGCUGGUUCUCCCCGAAAGCUAUUUAGGUAGCGCCUCGUGAAUUCAUCUCCGGGGGUAGAGCACUGUUUCGGCAAGGGGGUCAUCCCGACUUACCAACCCGAUGCAAACUGCGAAUACCGGAGAAUGUUAUCACGGGAGACACACGGCGGGUGCUAACGUCCGUCGUGAAGAGGGAAACAACCCAGACCGCCAGCUAAGGUCCCAAAGUCAUGGUUAAGUGGGAAACGAUGUGGGAAGGCCCAGACAGCCAGGAUGUUGGCUUAGAAGCAGCCAUCAUUUAAAGAAAGCGUAAUAGCUCACUGGUCGAGUCGGCCUGCGCGGAAGAUGUAACGGGGCUAAACCAUGCACCGAAGCUGCGGCAGCGACGCUUAUGCGUUGUUGGGUAGGGGAGCGUUCUGUAAGCCUGUGAAGGUGUACUG
rnacentral:rRNA from 1 species